GACGAACGCUGGCGGCGUGCUUAACACAUGCAAGUCGAACGGUGAAGGGACCAGCUUGCUGGUUCUGGAUGAGUGGCGAACGGGUGAGUAACACGUGAGUAACCUGCCCCCUUCUUCUGGAUAACCGCGUGAAAGUGUGGCUAAUACGGGAUAUUCUGGGUCUGUCGCAUGGCGGGCCCGGGAAAGAUAUUGCUUCGGUGGGGGAUGGGCUCGCGGCCUAUCAGCUUGUUGGUGGGGUGAUGGCCUACCAAGGCGGUGACGGGUAGCCGGCCUGAGAGGGUGGACGGUCACACUGGGACUGAGACACGGCCCAGACUCCUACGGGAGGCAGCAGUGGGGAAUAUUGCACAAUGGGCGCAAGCCUGAUGCAGCGACGCCGCGUGAGGGAUGGAGGCCUUCGGGUUGUAAACCUCUUUCGCCAGUGAAGCAGGCCUGCUCCUUGUGGGUGGGUUGACGGUAGCUGGAUAAGAAGCGCCGGCUAACUACGUG
rnacentral:rRNA from 1 species